rnacentral:rRNA from 1 species
CAGCAGUAGCCACGGGAAUACGAAGGGUGCAAGCGUUAAUCGGAAUUACUGGGCGUAAAGCGCGCGUAGGUGGUUUGGUAAGAUGGAUGUGAAAUCCCCGGGCUCAACCUGGGAACUGCAUCCAUAACUGCCUGACUAGAGUACGGUAGAGGGUGGUGGAAUUUCCUGUGUAGCGGUGAAAUGCGUAGAUAUAGGAAGGAACACCAGUGGCGAAGGCGACCACCUGGACUGAUACUGACACUGAGGUGCGAAAGCGUGGGGAGCAAACAGGAUUAGAUACCCCAGUAGUCCCUGUCUCUUAUAC